CAAAGGAAUUGACGGGGAGCACCACAACGGGUGGAGCUUGCGGUUUAAUUGGAUUCAACGCCGGAAAUCUUACCGGGACGACAGCAAUAUGAAGGCCAGGCUGAAGACUUUGCCGGAUUAGCUGAGAGGUGGUGCAUGGCCGUCGUCAGUUCGUACUGUGAAGCAUCCUGUUAAGUCAGGCAACGAGCGAGACCCACGCCAACAGUUGCCAGCAUGUCCUCCGGGAUGAUGGGGACACUGUUGGGACCGCCUCUGCUAAAGAGGAGGAAGGAAUGGGCAACGGUAGGUCAGCAUGCCCCGAAUUAUCCGGGCUACACGCGGGCUACAAUGGUCAGGACAAUGGGUAUCGACACCGAGAGGUGGAGGCAAUCUCCUAAACCUGUCCUUAGUUCGGAUUGUGGGCUGCAACUCGCCCACAUGAAGCUGGAAUCCGUAGUAAUCGCGUUUCAAAAUAGCGCGGUGAAUAUGUCCCUGCUCCUU
rnacentral:rRNA from 1 species